rnacentral:rRNA from 1 species
GAUGAACGCUGGCGGCAUGCCUAAUACAUGCAAGUCGAGCGGCAGCGCGAGUAGUUUACUACUUGGCGGCGAGCGGCGGACGGGUGAGUAACGCGUAGGAAUCUGCCCCAAAGUGAGGGAUAAGCUCCAGAAAUGGAGUCUAAUACCGCAUAUGGUCUUCGGAUUAAAGUCUUAGGACGCUUUGGGAGGAGCCUGCGUACGAUUAGCUAGUUGGUAAGGUAAAAGCUUACCAAGGCGACGAUCGUUAGCUGGUUUGAGAGGAUGAUCAGCCACACUGGAACUGAGACACGGUCCAGACUCCUACGGGUGGCUG